GACGAACGCUGGCGGCGCGCUUAACACAUGCAAGUCGAACGGAAAGGCCUGCUUUCCCUUGUGGAUUGCGGGUACUCGAGUGGCGAACGGGUGAGUAACACGUGAGUGAUCUGCCCCCAACUUGGGUAUAAGCCUGGGAAACUGGGUCUAAUUCCCGAUAGGACUGCAGGGUGGUGCCUGUGGUGGAAAACGAUUUUCUAGUGGUUGGGGAUGAGCUCGCGGCCUAUCAGCUUGUUGGUGGGGGAAUGGCCUACCAAGGCGGCGACGGGUAGCCGGCCUGAGAGGGUGGACGGCCACAUUGGGACUGAGAUGCGGCCCAGACUCCUACGGGCGGCAGCAGUGGCGACUAUUGCACGCUGGGCGGAAGCCUGAUGCAGCGACGCCGCGUGGGGGAUGCCGGCCUUCGGGUGGUAAGCUCCUUUCGGCCGCGAGGAAGCCACCUGGUUGGAAGGGUGGUGACGGUAGUGGUAGAAGAAGCACCGGCUAACUACGUG
rnacentral:rRNA from 1 species